UGGGGAAUUUUGGACAAUGGGCGAAAGCCUGAUCCAGCAAUGCCGCGUGUGUGAAGAAGGCCUUCGGGUUGUAAAGCACUUUUGUCCGGAAAGAAAUCCUUGGCUCUAAUACAGUCGGGGGAUGACGGUACCGGAAGAAUAAGCACCGGCUAACUACGUGCCAGCAGCCGCGGUAAUACGUAGGGUGCAAGCGUUAAUCGGAAUUACUGGGCGUAAAGCGUGCGCAGGCGGUUUGCUAAGACCGAUGUGAAAUCCCGGGCUCAACCUGGAACUGCAUUGGUGACUGGCAGGCUAGAGUAUGGCAGAGGGGGUGAGAAUUCCACGUGUAGCAGUGAAAUGCGUAGAGAUGUGGAGGAAUACCGAUGGCGAAGGCAGCCCCUCGGCAGUCAACUGACGCUCAUGCACGAAAAGCGUGGGGAGCAAACAGGAUUAGAUACCCUGGUAGUCCACGCCCUAAAACGAUGUCAACUAGUUGUUGGGGAUUCAUUUCCUUAGUAACGUAGCUAACGCGUGAAGUUGACCGCCUGGGGAGUACGGUCG
rnacentral:rRNA from 1 species